AUACGGAAGGUCCGGGCGUUAUCCGGAUUUAUUGGGUUUAAAGGGAGCGCAGGCGGAGAUGCAAGCGUGACGUCAAAUUUCGGGGCUCAACCCCGUCUCGCGUCGCGAACUGCGUCCCUUGGUUGCGGGAAGGGGAGGCGGAACUCGGGGUGUAGCGGUGAAAUGCAUAGAUAUCACGAAGAACUCCGAUCGCGAAGGCAGCCUUCCGGCCCGUCAACGACGCUCAUGCUCGAAGGUGCGGGUAUCAAACAGGAUUAGAUACCCUGGUAGUCCGCACAGUAAACGAUGGACACCCGCGGUUUGGCCUAUAUGGCUGAGCCGCCAAGCGAAAGCGUUAAGUGUCCCACCUGGGGAGUACGCCGGCAACGGUGAGACUCAAAGGAAUUGGCGGGG
rnacentral:rRNA from 1 species